ACAAGUAAUUAAGAGCAACAGGCGGAUGCCUGGGCGCUGAACGGCGAAGAAAGACGUGGUAAGCUGCGAUAAGCCUCGGGGAGGAGCUAAACAUCCUUUGAUCCGUGGAUGUCUGAAUGGGGAAACCCGCCGGGAGUAAUGUUCCGGCAUCUCCACAUGAAAAGAUAGUGUGGAAGAAGCUGACCCAGGGAAGUGAAACAUCUCAGUACCUGGAGGAAAGGAAAUCAAACGAGACUCCCAAAGUAGCGGCGAGCGAAAUGGGAAGAGCCCAAACCAUGUGGUUUCGACCAUGUGGGGUUGUAGGGCCGCCGGACGUGAUUCUGGAGUAGGCAGGAGAAGUCGGCUGGAAAGCCGCGCCGGAGCGAGUGAAAGCCUCGUAUCCGAAACCGAAAAGGACACAGGCGGUACCUGAGUACCGCGGGGCACGAGAAACCCCGUGGGAAUCCGGGAGGACCAUCUUCCAAGGCUAAGUACGAAUCAGCGACCGAUAGUGAACCAGUACCGUGAGGGAAAGGUGAAAAGAACCCCAGUCAGGGGAGUGAAAGAGAAUCUGAAACCUGUUGCUUACAAGCUGUGGGAGCCACAUAACGGUGGUGACCACGUGCCUUUUGCAUAAUGAGUCAGCGAGUUAAUCUGUCGUGCGAGGUUAAGCGAGAGCGGAGCCGUAGCGAAAGCGAGUCUGAUAAGGGCGACAAGUACGGCGGAUUAGACCCGAAACCGGGUGAUCUAUCCAUGAGCAGGUUGAAGCAAGGGUAAAGCCUUGUGGAGGACCGAACCAGUAUCGGCUGAAAACGAUUUGGAUGACUUGUGGAUAGGGGUGAAAGGUCAAUCAAACCCGGUGAUAGCUGGUUCUCCCCGAAAUAUAUUGAGGUAUAGCCUCGGGGAUUGUCUGUCGGAGGUAAAGCACUGACAAGGCUAGGGGUCCUACCAGAUUACCAAACCUUUUCAAACUCAGAAUGCCGACAAGAUGUACCCCGGGAGUCAGACGGCGGGUGCUAAGGUCCGUCGUCGAGAGGGUAAGAGCCCAGAUCGACAGCUAAGGUCUCGAAAUCCAUGCUCAGUGGUGAAGGUGGUGGAGUUGUACAGACAGCCAGGACGUUGGCUUAGAAGCAGCCAUCGUUUAAAGAAAGCGUAAUAGCUCACUGGUCUAAUGACUCUGCGCCGAAAAUGUAACGGGGCUAAGCAUGGUACCGAAGCUUCGGAUUCCUCUUUUGAGGAGUGGUAGGGGAGCGUUCUCUAUGGGCAGAAGCUGCAUUGUAAAGUGCGGUGGACGGUAGAGAAGUGAUUAUGCUGACAUGAGUAACGAUAAAACAGGUGAAAAACCUGUUCGCCGAAAACCCAAGGUUUCCUGGGUAAAGUUAAUCUUCCCAGGGUGAGUCGGACCCUAAGGCGAGGGCGAAAGCCGUAGCUGAUGGAAAACGGGUUAAUAUUCCCGUACUUCUUAUGGUGUGCGAUGGAGGGACGCAGAAAGAUAGGUGGGCCAACUGUUGGAUGUUGGUGCAAGCUGGUAGGAAUGCCUCGCCGGCAAAUCCGCGAGGUGAAUCCGAGAAGCGAGUCCGUGGGCGCAAGCCCUGAAGCCAUUGAGUCUCCGCUGCCAAGAAAAGCUCCUAAGUUUAGCCAUGAGGAUCCGUACUGCAAACCAACUCAGGUGGGUGGGAUGAAUAAUCCGAGGCGCUCGAGAGAACUCUGGCCAAGGAACUCGGCAAAAUGACCCCGUAACUUCGGAAGAAGGGGUGCUUUUUCAGGUGACCAUUUUUACAUUGGAAGCCAGAGGAAGCCGCAGUGAAUUGGUGGUGGCGACUGUUUACUAAAAACAUAGGUCUGUGCGAAGUCGCAAGACGACGUAUACGGACUGACGCCUGCCCGGUGCCGGAAGGUUAAGAGGAGAGGUCAGCGCAAGCGAAGCCUUGAAUCGAAGCCCCGGUAAACGGCGGCCGUAACUAUAACGGUCCUAAGGUAGCGAAAUUCCUUGUCGGGUAAGUUCCGAC
rnacentral:rRNA from 1 species